rnacentral:rRNA from 1 species
UUUCAAAGUAUCUUCUGCCCACUGAUAAGAUUUAAAGGCCGCAGUACCCUGACUGUGCAAAGGUAGCGUGAUAACUGUUUUCUUAAUUAGAGAUCUGUUCAAAGAAUGAUAUGCAGAGGUACUAUUGUUUCUAUAGUUAAAUGAAUUUAAAUUGUUAGUGAAAAUUCUAACUAAUCCCUAAAAGACGAGAAGACCCCAUAAAACUUAAUUUAACCUACUCUUAUCUAUUACUUAAAAUUUAAAUGGGGACUUUAGAGUAAACUUAUAACUUAUUGACCUGAUUUUUUUUAAUUAUUUGAGAAGCUACUUUGGGGAUAACAGGGUGAAAUAUUUAAAGAGUUCUUAUCGAUAAAUAUGUCUACUACCUCGAUGUUGGAUUAUCUUUUCAA